CACCGACAAAGGCACAAUACCAAGAAUAAACUAAGGACAUGAUGCACAGUUCUCGAAUUUCAUGAAGAUGAUACGAGAAGUUGUUGUGCGUGAUGUCCCCACAGUGGAGACAUGUAGGUGAUGCCGGAAAGUCAGUAAGGAAGAAGUCGGAAGAGACAGAGUAAGGACAAAUGGACUUGUGGUUAUGGUUUCGCGCGCGGGGUUGUAUCUAUGACGUUAGAAUUUUACGUUGAUUAGAAAUUUGACUUAAUAAAUAUUCAAAUGACA